AGCGAACGCUGGCGGCAGGCCUAACACAUGCAAGUCGAACGAACCUUUCGGGGUUAGUGGCGGACGGGUGCGUAACACGUGGGAACGUGCCUUUAGGUUCGGAAUAACUCAGGAAAACUUGUGCUAAUACCGAAUGUGCCCUUCGGGGGAAAGAUUAAUCGCCUUUAGAGCGGCCCGCGUCUGAUUAGCUAGUUGGUUGAGGUAAUGGCUCACCAAGGCGACGAUCAGUAGCUGGUCUGAGAGGAUGAUCAGCCACAUUGGGACUGAGACACGGCCCAAACUCCUACGGGAGGCAGCAGUGGGGAAUCUUGCGCAAUGGGCGAAAGCCUGACGCAGCCAUGCCGCGUGAAUGAUGAAGGUCUUAGGAUUGUAAAAUUCUUUCACCGGGGACGAUAAUGACGGUACCCGGAGAAGAAGCCCCGGCUAACUUCGUG
rnacentral:rRNA from 1 species